UACAAAGAUAGAAGAAAAGGAAAACAACUAUGACCAAUAUUAUAUUGCUACAGUCUGAUUUUCUUUUCACAUUUUUGUCAUUUCUUUAUAUUCUUCAUAGGUUUAGUUGUAUGUCUCUGUGUUUGUUUGUAUACCUCUGAAUGAUUAACUUAUGGUUCUCUAAAUGUGUAUUCAUUUUACCUUUGAAAAGAUGAGUAGCAUAUCAUGAUGCAUUUUAUAUUAGUAUACAUAUCUCAAAACACACAUAACUUUUGAAUCUAUAAAACGUUUUGUAUUUGGUUAAAAUGUAGGUAAUGUCAAGCAAUAUUUGUUUACAAAAUGUGUCUGAUUUAUAAUGGGAUUUGGAUAAGAAAAGAUGCUUUCGUUUGGGUUUGUCAACCUUAUGGCCCUGAUGGUUACUCAGAGGAGACAGAUUUUAUCUUAGAAGGGGGUAUUUGCUAACUAGGAUUGAAAGCAUCAUGGUGGUGGCAUGCUCCCAUAUUACCACUUGAAAUUCAUUGCUGGCUGAUCUACAGAGCAGCUUUGAUUGCAGUUUUACCAAGCCAGAUUCCUGCUGUCCUGGCUGCAAGGGCCAUUUGUAUGAAUUUUGCAACAUUUAAUGGGAUCUCAUACAUGGAGAUCUUAUACAAGUUAGUGUUUUAUGCAAUGUUAUCAUCUGAAAAUAUUUUUCCUAAUAUCAAAGUCUGAAACCUAAAAUCAGGUUUCUACCUGUGUCCAAGAAGAGCAAGACAUUUGAAGAAAGUUUCCAACAUGCCAGUGUGAAACUACAAUCAAUACACAGAAAAUUUCUGUCCUCGUGGAGUAUAUAUUUCAGAAGAAUCAGAAGUAACUGCCUAAUGUUUUCAAGUCAUUGAUGUAGGAAGAGAACUAGGAGAAAGAAACAGUGAUGGAGGAGGAAAAUCUAUGGAUUAUCAUGU